AUUGAACGCUGGCGGCGUGCCUAAUACAUGCAAGUCGAACGCAUUGAGAGAAGUGCUUGCACUUUUCAAUUUGAGUGGCGAACGGGUGAGUAACACGUGGGCAACCUACCUGAUAGCGGGGGAUAACGAGUGGAAACAUUCGCUAAUACCGCAUAACAAUAGAGAAGGCAUCUUCUUUAUUUAAAAGGCGCUUUCAAGCGUCACUAUCAGAUGGGCCCGCGGUGCAUUAGUUAGUUGGUGGGGUGAAGGCCUACCAAGACGAUGAUGCAUAGCCGAGUUGAGAGGCUGAUCGGCCACAUUGGGACUGAGACACGGCCCAAACUCCGACGGGAGGCUGCAGUAGGGAAUCUUCCACAAUGGACGAAAGUCUGAUGGAGCAACGCCGCGUGUGUGAUGAAGGCUUUCGGGUCGUAAAGCACUGUUGUAUGGGAAGAAAUGCUAGGCUAGGAAAUGAGCUUAGUUUGACGGUACCAUACCAGAAAGGGACGGCUAAAUACGUGCCAGCCGCCGCGGUAA
rnacentral:rRNA from 1 species